rnacentral:rRNA from 1 species
GAUGAACGCUGGCGGCGUGCUUAAUACAUGCAAGUCGAACGAAGAGCUUUUGUAGCAAUACGGGAGCUUCUUAGUGGCGAACGGGUGCGUAAAGCGUUGGUGACCUGCCCCGAAGUGUGGAAUAACAGUUCGAAAGGACUGCUAAUACCGCAUGUGAUCCUCGGUUUUAGAAUCCGAUGAUUAAAGGAGUAAUCCGCUUCGGGAGGGACCUGCGUCCCAUCAGCUAGUUGGUGAGGUAACGGCCCACCAAGGCUACGACGGGUAGGGGACCUGAGAGGGUGGUCCCCCACACUGGCACUGAAACACGGGCCAGACACCUACGGGUGGCAGCAGUAGGGAAUAUUGGGCAAUGGGCGAAAGCCUGACCCAGCAACGCCGCGUGCACGAUGAAGGUCUUCGGAUCGUAAAGUGCUUUUCUGAGAGAUGGGAAAGGACAGUAUCUCAGGAAUAAGUCUCGGCUAACUACGUGCCAGCAGCCGCCGUAAUAC